AGUGAACGCUGGCGGUAGGCCUAACACAUGCAAGUCGAACGGCAGCACAGUAAGAGCUUGCUCUUACGGGUGGCGAGUGGCGGACGGGUGAGGAAUACAUCGGAAUCUACUUUUUCGUGGGGGAUAACGUAGGGAAACUUACGCUAAUACCGCAUACGACCUACGGGUGAAAGCAGGGGAUCUUCGGACCUUGCGCGAUUGAAUGAGCCGAUGUCGGAUUAGCUAGUUGGCGGGGUAAAGGCCCACCAAGGCGACGAUCCGUAGCUGGUCUGAGAGGAUGAUCAGCCACACUGGAACUGAGACACGGUCCAGACUACUACGGGAGGCAGCAGAGGGGAAUAUUGGACAAUGGGCGCAAGCCUGAUCCAGCCAGACCGCGUGGGUGAAGAAGGCCUUCGGGUUGUAAAGCCCUUUUGUUGGGAAAGAAAAGCAGCAGGUUAAUACCCCGCUGUUCUGACGGUACCCAAAGAAUAAGCACCGGCUAACUUCGUG
rnacentral:rRNA from 1 species